rnacentral:rRNA from 1 species
AGUGAACGCUGGCGGUAGGCCUAACACAUGCAAGUCGAACGGCAGCACAGUAAGAGCUUGCUCUUACGGGUGGCGAGUGGCGGACGGGUGAGGCAUACAUCGGAAUCUACUUUUUCGUGGGGGAUAACGUAGGGAAACUUACGCUAAUACCGCAUACGACCUACGGGUGAAAGCAGGGGAUCUUCGGACCUUUCGCGAUUGAAUGAGCCGAUUUCGGAUUAGCUAGUUGGCGGGGUAAAGGCCCACCAAGGCGACGAUCCGUAGCUGGUCUGAGAGGAUGAUCAGCCACACUGGAACUGAGACACGGUCCAGACUCCUACGGGAGGCAGCAGUGGGGAAUAUUGGACAAUGGGCGCAAGCCUGAUCCAGCCAUACCGCGUGGGUGAAGAAGGCCUUCGGGUUGUAAAGCCCUUUUGUUGGGAAAGAAAAGCAGCAGGUUAAUACCCCGCUGUUCUGACGGUACCCAAAGAAUAAGCACCGGCUAACUUCGUG